rnacentral:rRNA from 1 species
UACGGGGGGGGCAAGCGUUGUUCGGAAUUACUGGGCGUAAAGGGCUCGUAGGUGGCCAACUAAGUCCGACGUGAAAUCCCCAAGCUUAACUUGGGAACUGCGUCGGAUACUGGAUGGCUUGAAUUCGGGAGAGGGAUGCAGAAUUCCAGGUGUAGCGGUGAAAUGCGUAGAUAUCUGGAGGAAUACCGGUGGCGAAGGCGGCAUCCUGGACCGGCAUUGACGCUGAGGAGCGAAAGCUAGGGGAGCAAACGGG